rnacentral:rRNA from 2 species
GGGCGUAAAGCGAGCGCAGGCGGUUUUUUAAGUCUGAUGUGAAAGCCUUCGGCUCAACCGAAGAAGUGCAUCGGAAACUGGGAAACUUGAGUGCAGAAGAGGACAGUGGAACUCCAUGUGUAGCGGUGAAAUGCGUAGAUAUAUGGAAGAACACCAGUGGCGAAGGCGGCUGUCUGGUCUGUAACUGACGCUGAGGCUCGAAAGUAUGGGUAGCAAACAGGAUUAGAUACCCUGGUAGUCCAUACCGUAAACGAUGAAUGCUAAGUGUUGGAGGGUUUCCGCCCUUCAGUGCUGCAGCUAACGCAUUAAGCAUUCCGCCUGGGGAGUACGGCCGCAAGGCUGAAACUCAAAGGAAUUGACGGGGGCCCGCACAAGCGGUGGAGCAUGUGGUUUAAUUCGAAGCUACGCGAAGAACCUUACCAGGUCUUGACAUACUAUGCAAAUCUAAGAGAUUAGACGUUCCCUUCGGGGACAUGGAUACAGGUGGUGCAUGGUUGUCGUCAGCUCGUGUCGUGAGAUGUUGGGUUAAGUCCCGCAACGAGCGCAACCCUUAUUAUCAGUUGCCAGCAUUAAGUUGGGCACUCUGGUGAGACUGCCGGUGACAAACCGGAGGAAGGUGGGGAUGACGUCAAAUCAUCAUGCCCCUUAUGACCUGGGCUACACACGUGCUACAAUGGAUGGUACAACGAGUUGCGAACUCGCGAGAGUAAGCUAAUCUCUUAAAGCCAUUCUCAGUUCGGAUUGUAGGCUGCAACUCGCCUACAUGAAGUCGGAAUCGCUAGUAAUCGCGGAUCAGCAUGCCGCGGUGAAUACGUUCCCGGGCCUUGUACACACCGCCCGUCACACCAUGAGAGUUUGUAACACCCAAAGUCGGUGGGGUAAUCCUUUUAGGAACCAGCCGCCUAAGGUGGGACAGAUGAUUAGGGUGAAGUCGUAAC